rnacentral:tRNA from 1 species
UGGAUCACCUCCUAACAGGGAGACAACAAAAUGUUUAAUAUUAUUAUUUUGUCACCUUAGGUCGAUCGGUAUCUCACAUUCUUGAUUUAUUAAGAAUUUCAUUUCCUAAGUUUUUCUAGGUCACACCCAUUAUUUUUCCUGGGCCAUUAGCUCAGGUGGUUAGAGCGCACCCCUGAUAAGGGUGAGGUCCCUGGUUCAAGUCCAGGAUGGCCCAUAUCUCUAUGUUGGGGGUAUAGCUCAGUUGGUAGAGCGCCUGCUUUGCAAGCAGGAUGUCAGCGGUUCGAGUCCGCUUACCUCCACUGAUCACCACCUCUUCCAUAAUCGGUAGAAAGGAAAUUUUUUGAGUUGUGAUCAAAUUCUGAAAGAAUCUAGCUUCCUAAUGAAAUCAUUAAGAUGCUGGACUCAUUGAAUUAAUUUCAUUGUUUUCAGAGAACCUUGACAACUGCAUAGAUUAUUUUUAAAGACAAUAAGCAUCUUUAAUGAUGCAGAUUUAUUAUUUGUGCAAAUGCAUUAAUAACAAUUCUAUUAAGCUGAUGCUUCAAUAUUUGAAGUUAUUGGUCAAGCUACAAAGGGCUCACGGAGGAUACCUAGGCACACAGAGGCGAUGAAGG